rnacentral:rRNA from 1 species
AUUGAACGCUGGCGGCAUGCCUUACACAUGCAAGUCGAACGGCAGCACGGGAGCAAUCCUGGUGGCGAGUGGCGAACGGGUGAGUAAUAUAUCGGAACGUGCCCGGUCGUGGGGAUGACGUAGCGAAAGUUGCGCUAAUACCGCAUACGAUCUACGGAUGAAAGUGGGGGAUCGCAAGACCUCAUGCUCAUGGAGCGGCCGAUAUCUGAUUAGCUAGUUGGUGGGGUAAAGGCCUACCAAGGCAUCGAUCAGUAGCUGGUCUGAGAGGACGACCAGCCACACUGGAACUGAGACACGGUCCAGACUCCUACGGGAGGCAGCAGUGGGGAAUUUUUGGACAAUGGGGGGCAACCCUGAUCCAGCAAUGCCGCGUGAGUGAAGAAGGCCU